rnacentral:rRNA from 1 species
GUGAGGAAUUUUCCGCAAUGGGCGAAAGCCUGACGGAGCAAUGCCGCGUGAAGGAUGAAGGCCUAUGGUUUGUAAACUUUUUUUCUCAGAAAAGAAUUAUGACGGUAUCUGAGGAAUAAGCAUCGGCUAACUCUGUGCCAGCAACCGCGGUAAGACAGAGGAUGCAAGCGUUAUCCGGAAGGAUUGGGCGUAAAGCGUCUGUAGGUUGUUUAAAAAGUAUUCUGUCAAAGAUUAGGGCUUAACCCUAGAUAGGCAUAAUAAACUUUUAAGCUAGAGUUUGGUAGAGGCAGAGGGGAUACACGGUGGAGCGGUGAAAUGCGUAGAUAUCGGGAGGAACACCAAAGGCGAAGGCACUCUGCUGGGCCAAUACUAACACUGAGAGACGAAAGCGAGGGGAGCAAAUGGGAUUAAAUACCCGGGUAGUCC